rnacentral:pre_miRNA from 1 species
AGUGGUUAUCCCUGUCCUGUUCGUUUUACUCAUGUCGAAUCGUACAGGGUCAUCCACUUU